UACGAAGGGGGCUAGCGUUGCUCGGGAAUUACUGGGCGUAAAGCGCACGUAGGCGGCUUUCUAAGUCGGGGGUGAAAUCCUGGAGCUCAACUCCAGAACUGCCUCGAUACUGGAAAGCUCGAGUCCGGGAGAGGUGAGUGGAACUGCGAGUGUAGAGGUGAAAUUCGUAGAUAUUCGCAAGAACACCAGUGGCGAAGGCGGCUCACUGGCCCGGUACUGACGCUGAGGAGCGAAAGUGUGGGGAGCGGAACAGG
rnacentral:rRNA from 1 species